rnacentral:lncRNA from 1 species
UUAAUUCAGGUUUUUCCAAUAGCACAUCAAAAAUAAAACUAUAUAAAUUUUUAUUUGUUUCUUUCAUCACCUAAUUUGAUGGUCGAAUGUUACGUCCCGAUCAUAUUCUUAAAAUUGAUUCGAAGGUAUUAUUUCAUGGCAUUUAUAAAUUGAAACAACAAGAAUCAUACCAACUUUUUCAACAUAGAUAUCAAUCACACUUUUGUACAAUUGGUAACAAAUUUUUUAUUUUUUUAUUAUUAUUUUUUUGUUACGACAACAAAGUGUAUAUGAUUUUUUCAAUCCUAAAUAUAUUAGAAAUUAAACAUUGACUUCUUCCAUAGAAGCAAUGAAAGAAAUUGAAUGUUUAAUAUCAUCACCAAUAUGAAGACUAUGCUCACCCAAUGGAAUUCUUCAAAUUCCAUUGUUAUCCGCCAUGCUUAAAUGCUUGCACGCAUCAAUAUCAACCCUAACUCUCUUUUGACUUUUGGCUAUUAUAAGAACUUUCUCAAAUGCAACCAAUUGUUUUUCCGACGCAUGUUUUCCAACCGACAGAGUUGCAAAAAUCAUCAAUGUGUGAGUUCCGUCCAUGUCUCCAAUAUUUUCAACAUCUAUGUGUACACUCGAAAUGAGUGAGUCACACUUUGUGUGUGUGACCCUUACACCAUGGCUUAGCAUGGUAGUAAUUUUG